rnacentral:rRNA from 1 species
UGAAGCGGGAAAAGCUCAAAUUUAAAAUCUGGCGCAAGCCCGAGUUGUAAUCUGGAGAAGCAUUUUCUGUGUCGGACCGUGUACAAGUCUCUUGGAACAGAGCGUCAUAGAGGGUGAGAAUCCCGUCCAUGACACGGACUACCGAUGCUUUGUGAUAUGCUCUCGAAGAGUCGAGUUGUUUGGGAAUGCAGCUCAAAAUGGGUGGUAAAUUCCAUCUAAAGCUAAAUAUUGGCGAGAGACCGAUAGCGAACAAGUACCGUGAGGGAAAGAUGAAAAGCACUUUGGAAAGAGAGUUAAACAGUACGUGAAAUUGUUGAAAGGGAAACGCUUGAAGUCAGUCGCGUUGUCUGGAACUUAGCCUUGCUUGCAUGGUGUACUUUCCAGUUAACGGGUCAACAUCAAUUUUGGUUGGUGGAUAAAGGUAGAGGGAAUGUGGCAUCUUCGGAUGUGUUAUAGCCCUUUGCUGCAUACACUGACUGGGAUUGAGGUCUGCAGCACGCCGUCAUGGCCGGGGGUUCGCCCUACGUAACGUGCUUAGGAUGUUGGCAUAAUGGCUUUAAUCGACCCGUCU